UUAAAGGCGUGUGCCAAUGCCAUGAUCACGAAGGUGGUUUUCCCAGGGCGAGGCUUAUCCAUUGCACUCCGGAUGUGCUGAGCUGACCCCUGCGAUUUCCCAAAAUGCAGGAAAUUCAACUACAUAGUUUGUGGUAGUGGGGGACUGUGUUUGCGCUCUUCACAC